AGAGUUCGAUUAUGGCUCAGGAUGAACGCUGGCGGCGUGCCUAACACAUGCAAGUCGAGCGAUUCUCUUCGGAGAAGAGCGGCGGACGGGUGAGUAACGCGUGGGUAACCUGCCCUGUACACACGGAUAACAUACCGAAAGGUAUGCUAAUACGGGAUAACAUAAGAAAUUCGCAUGUUUUUCUUAUCAAAGCUCCGGCGGUACAGGAUGGACCCGCGUCUGAUUAGCUAGUUGGUGAGGUAAUGGCUCACCAAGGCGACGAUCAGUAGCCGACCUGAGAGGGUGAUCGGCCACAUUGGAACUGAGACACGGUCCAA
rnacentral:rRNA from 1 species